rnacentral:lncRNA from 1 species
GGCACCAGCAGAGAGGAGCAGAGACGCCCAGAACACACUGUCCCCCAAUGCCAGCCCCAAGCGGGGCCAGCUCAGGGUGCGGUGGGCAGAGCCAUCCUGCAGCUCUGAGAUCCACAAGGUGGAGGUGGGAGUAGCGCCAGGCUCCACUGUGUUGGAGCUCGCCCCGUUUGAGCCCAAUUUGAUUCCGGAGCCAUGACCUGCAGCACAUUGGCGACCAGAAGAUGCCCAAAGCUCUUUGUCCUGGGAAGAGUUUGCUGCAUCUUCCAGUUUCAGCAAUCAAAGAAGCAAAGUUCCCUGCAGUUCUUCAAGGAACCUUGAGAAUUCAGAAGGUCUUGGUGUGGCUGCAUCCAUCCUGCAGACAAAUGCCAAUCAGCAGAGGGGCCAUUCCCAGGGACACAUGUCUGGCUGACUUGGGCCUUGGCCAGGCUUUGGAUUCACCUUGAAAACAUCCUCUCUGAACAUCAGAAGUCCACUUGGUCCCCGAACAGUGUAUUAACUUCUAACAUUUCUGACUUCCAGUCAUGGAGAUUUCAAAACCAAUUGCAUAUGGCAGCGAAGCUUUUCACUUUUAAUGGAACAUUUAGGAGAAGGGCGGCUUUUCCUAUUUUCUGUGUUAUCUUCAGCCUGUUAACUGUUGUCAGCCCUGGAGAGAAACCAUCCCUUCUUAAAAACAUGAACCACAUACUAAGUUGCUUCUUGCCUCUUAAAGAUUCAGGUCACUCAGGUACAUCACACUGAGACAGGACGCUCAGGUACAUCAUACUGAGACAGGACGCUCAGGUACAUCAUACUGAGACAAACACUCAGGUACAUCAUACUGAGACAGGACGCUCAGGUACAUCACACUGAGACAGGACAUGUUGAUUGUUGGUGUGUAUUUCUCCCAAGCCACCACUCAAACUAGUGUUUGAUUUCCAUGGAGGUUGGCUGAUGGCUUUUAGCUUGAGCCCCAACAGUGUGACUUCAUACAAGGCAA